GCCCAGAUCGUUUACCGUGAAAAAAUUAGAGUGUUCAAAGCAGGCAGAUCCAAUUUUCUGCCACCGAAUACAUUAGCAUGGGAUAAUGGAAUAGGACCCUGUCCUCCUAUUUUCAGUUGGUUUUGGCAGCGCGAGGACUAGGGUAAUGAUUAAUAGGGAUAGUUGGGGGCAUUAAUAUUUAAUUGUCAGAGGUGAAAUUCUUGGAUUUAUGAAAGAUUAACUUCUGCGAAAGCAUCUGCCAAGGAUGUUUUCAUUAAUCAAGAACGAAAGUUAGGGGAUCGAAGACGAUCAGAUACCGUCGUAGUCUUAACCAUAAACGAUGCCGACCAGCGAUUAGGAGACGUUGAAUACAAAACACCACCAUCGGCGCGGUCGUCCUUGGCGUCGGUCUUUCGGGGCCGGCGCGGGGGCGGCUUAGCCCGGUGGCACCGGUGAAUGACUCCCCUAGCAGCUUGUGAGA
rnacentral:rRNA from 1 species